AUUGAACGCUGGCGGCAGGCUUAACACAUGCAAGUCGAACGGAGUGGCGAACGGGUGAGUAAUGUAUCGGAACGUUCCCAGUAGCGGGGGAUAACUACGCGAAAGCGUAGCUAAUACCGCAUACUAUUGGAGCGGCCGCUAUCGGAUUAGCUAGUGGGUGGGGUAACGGCGAACCACGGCGACGAUCCGUAGCUGGUUUGAGAGGGUGACUAGCCACACUGGGACUGGGACACGGCCAAGACUCCUCCGUGAGGCAGCAGUGUGGAAUUUUGGACAAUGGGGGAAACCCUGAUCCAGCCAUCCCGCGUGUGCGAUGAAGGCCUUCGGGUUGUAAAGCACUUUUGGCAGGAAAGCGGUACCUGCAGAAUAAGCACCGGCUAACUACGUGCCAGCAGCCGCGGUAAUAC
rnacentral:rRNA from 1 species